UGAGUAACACGUAUCCAACCUGCCGUCUACUCUUGGACAGCCUUCUGAAAGGAAGAUUAAUACAAGAUGGCAUCAUGAGUCCGCAUGUUCACAUGAUUAAAGGUAUUCCGGUAGACGAUGGGGAUGCGUUCCAUUAGAUAGUAGGCGGGGUAACGGCCCACCUAGCUUCGAUGGAUAGGGGUUCUGAGAGGAAGGUCCCCCACAUUGGAACUGAGACACGGUCCAA
rnacentral:rRNA from 1 species